UCCCUGGUGGUCCAGUGGUUAAGACUCUGCGCUCACAACACGGGGGCCCAGGUUCCAUCCCUGGUCAGGGAA